AUUGAACGCUGGCGGCAUGCCUUACACAUGCAAGUCGAACGGCAGCACGGGGGCAACCCUGGUGGCGAGUGGCGAACGGGUGAGUAAUGCAUCGGAACGUGCCCAGUAGUGGGGGACAACCAGUCGAAAGAUUGGCUAAUACCGCAUACGACCUAUGGGUGAAAGCGGGGGACCGCAAGGCCUCGCGCUAUUGGAGCGGCCGAUGUCUGAUUAGCUAGUUGGUGAGGUAAGGGCUCACCAAGGCGACGAUCAGUAGCUGGUCUGAGAGGACGACCAGCCACACUGGGACUGAGACACGGCCCAGACUCCUACGGGAGGCAGCAGUGGGGAAUUUUGGACAAUGGGCGCAAGCCUGAUCCAGCCAUGCCGCGUGCGGGAAGAAGGCCUUCGGGUUGUAAACCGCUUUUGGCAGGAACGAAACGGCGACUCUUAAUACGGGUCGUUAAUGACGGUACCUGCAGAAUAAGCACCGGCUAACUACGUGCCAGCCGCCGCAGUAAGAC
rnacentral:rRNA from 1 species